AUACGGCCACAUCAAGUAGAACCACCGAUUACCGUACGAUCAGAGAAGUUAAGCAAUGUUGAGGCUGGUCACUACGUAGAUGGGUGACCGCUUGAGAAUACCAGUUACUGCUGG